rnacentral:rRNA from 1 species
UGCUUCUGAUUGAUAACAUUUGAGUGAGUGGCGGACGGGUGAGUAACACGUGGGUAACCUGCCCUAAAGUGGGGGAUAACAUUUGGAAACAGAUGCUAAUACCGCAUAAAACCUAGCACCGCAUGGUGCAAGGUUGAAAGAUGGUUUCGGCUAUCACUUUAGGAUGGACCCGCGGUGCAUUAGUUAGUUGGUGAGGUAAAGGCUCACCAAGACCGUGAUGCAUAGCCGACCUGAGAGGGUAAUCGGCCACACUGGGACUGAGACACGGCCCAGACUCCUACGGGAGGCAGCAGUAGGGAAUCUUCCACAAUGGACGAAAGUCUGAUGGAGCAACGCCGCGUGAGUGAAGAAGGUUUUCGGAUCGUAAAACUCUGUUGUUGGAGAAGAACGUAUUUGAUAGUAACUGAUCAGGUAGUGACGGUAUCCAACCAGAAAGCCACGGCUAACUACGUGCCAGCAGCCGCGGUAAUACGUAGGUGGCAAGCGUUGUCCGGAU